AUGAAUCUUCUCCCCUCAACUUGUACGUUGUAUAGUAUAACCGCCAACAUUCUCGCAUCCUCCACUUCAAUGAAUCUAGCAAACCCAAACUUCUUACAUAUUCUGUUUCUUCUAGGAGCAAUUGCAACUUCCACGAUCUCCCCAAUGCAACCGAAGAGCUCGAAGAAGUCCUUGAAUUUGCUUUUUUUCAAAAAAUUCGGAAAGUAA